AUUGAACGCUGGCGGCAUGCUUUACACAUGCAAGUCGAACGGCAGCGCGGGGCAACCUGGCGGCGAGUGGCGAACGGGUGAGUAAUAUAUCGGAACGUACCCAGAAGUGGGGGAUAACGUAGCGAAAGUUACGCUAAUACCGCAUACGAUCUACGGAUGAAAGUGGGGGACCUUCGGGCCUCAUGCUUGUGGAGCGGCCGAUAUCUGAUUAGCUAGUUGGUGAGGUAAAGGCUCACCAAGGCGACGAUCAGUAGCUGGUCUGAGAGGACGACCAGCCACACUGGGACUGAGACACGGCCCAGACUCCUACGGGAGGCAGCAGUGGGGAAUUUUGGACAAUGGGCGCAAGCCUGAUCCAGCCAUACCGCGUGGGUGAAGAAGGCCUUCGGGUUGUAAAGCCCUUUUGUUGGGAAAGAAAAGCACACGGUUAAUACCCGAGUGUUCUGACGGUACCCAAAGAAUAAGCACCGGCUAACUUCGUGCCAGCCGCCGCGGUAAUAC
rnacentral:rRNA from 1 species